UUCACAUCCAGCAGAGGAGGCGGGGGCAGCCGCUGAGACGGUUUUUCACAAGGUGCAUUUUAAUGGUUACCAGGUUGCCACGUAUUUGAAGUGGUGUGAGAGCUACUCGUUUGGAACCGUUGUGGAUUUUCAAAUAGGAAAAUCAAAAGGCCCAAAGAGACAGCUCACUGGUGACCAUGCUUUGGGAUUUUCAUAGUUUGAGUAAUUCCUAUGGGCUCUACCACCCAGCGAGUUAAAGAAGACAAGAUUCCACCCCCAGGGGGUUGUGGUUCUGGGAAUGUGAGCAGCUUGUUUUCAGGAGAUCUGCAUCUUGAUCUGGCCUGCUAUUAGGAUCUGUGGUGGUGGUGCCUGUCUGGUUUUAGUUGUUUCUUUUAUCUUACACAGAUUUUUGUAAGUUAUUUGCAUAUAAAGGUUUUUGAAAAGUGAAUGUUUU
rnacentral:lncRNA from 1 species